AGCGAACGGACGAGAAGCUUGCUUCUCUGAUGUUAGCGGCGGACGGGUGAGUAACACGUGGAUAACCUACCUAUAAGACUGGGAUAACUUCGGGAAACCGGAGCUAAUACCGGAUAAUAUUUUGAACCGCAUGGUUCAAAAGUGAAAGACGGUCUUGCUGUCACUUAUAGAUGGAUCCGCGCUGCAUUAGCUAGUUGGUAAGGUAACGGCUUACCAAGGCAACGAUGCAUAGCCGACCUGAGAGGGUGAUCGGCCACACUGGAACUGAGACACGGUCCAGACUCCUACGGGAGGCAGCAGUAGGGAAUCUUCCGCAAUGGGCGAAAGCCUGACGGAGCAACGCCGCGUGAGUGAUGAAGGUCUUCGGAUCGUAAAACUCUGUUAUUAGGGAAGAACAUAUGUGUAAGUAACUGUGCACAUCUUGACGGUACCUAAUCAGAAAGCCACGGCUAACUACGUGCCAGCAGCCGCGGUAAUACGUAGGUGGCAAGCGUUAUCCGGAAUUAUUGGGCGUAAAGCGCGCGUAGGCGGUUUUUUAAGUCUGAUGUGAAAGCCCACGGCUCAACCGUGGAGGGUCAUUGGAAACUGGAAAACUUGAGUGCAGAAGAGGAAAGUGGAAUUCCAUGUGUAGCGGUGAAAUGCGCAGAGAUAUGGAGGAACACCAGUGGCGAAGGCGACUUUCUGGUCUGUAACUGACGCUGAUGUGCGAAAGCGUGGGGAUCAAACAGGAUUA
rnacentral:rRNA from 1 species